AUACGGAGGGUGCGAGCGUUGUUCGGAAUUAUUGGGCGUAAAGCGCGUGUAGGCGGUUUGUUAAGUCUGAUGUGAAAGCCCCGGGCUCAACCUGGGAAGUGCAUUGGAUACUGGCAGACUUGUAUACGGGAGAGGGUAGUGGAAUUCCUAGUGUAGGAGUGAAAUCCGUAGAUAUUAGGAGGAACACCGGUGGCGAAGGCGGCUACCUGGACCGAUAUUGACGCUGAGACGCGAAAGCGUGGGGAGC
rnacentral:rRNA from 1 species